rnacentral:snRNA from 1 species
AACGCUUCUCAGCCUUUUGGCUAAGAUCAAGUGUAGUAUCUUUAUGUCUCUCUCUAUGUGUGUGUGUUUGUGUGCACCUCUU